GGAGCCUUAGCUCAGCCCGGUUAGAGUGAACGCCUGAUAAGCGUUAGGUCGUAGGUUCAAAUCCUACAGGCUCCA
rnacentral:tRNA from 1 species